UACGGAAGGCAGCAGGGGGAAUAUUGCACAAUGGGCGAAAGCCUGAUGCAGCUAUGCCGCGUGUAUGAAGAAGGCCUUAGGGUUGUAAAGUACUUUCAUCGGGGAGGAAAAAACAAAACUAAUAAUUUUAUUUCUUGACGUUACCCGAAAAAGAAGCACCGGCUAACUCCGUGCCAGCAGCCGCGGUAAUACGGAGGGUGCUAGCGUUAAUCAGAAUUACUGGGCGUAAAGAGCACGUAGGUGGUUUUUUUAAAGUCAGAUGUGAAAUCCCUGGGCUUAACCUGGAACUGCAUUUUGAAACUGAAAUACUAGAGUAUCGUAGAGGGAGGUAGAAUUCUAGGUGUAGCGGUGAAAUGCGUAGAUAUCUGGAGGAAUACCUGUGGCGAAAGCGGCCUCCUAAACGAAUACUGACACUGAGGGUGCGAAAGCGUGGGGAGCAAACAGGGAUUAGAUACC
rnacentral:rRNA from 1 species